GGGGGUUAAAUUAAUAAUUUUAUAAAUAAUAAAAAUAAUUUUAAUAUUAAAAUAGGGGGUUUUAGUAUUAAUAAAAAAAAAAUUAUAAAAUUUAUAGUAAAUUAGUAUUGUAAAAGAAUUUUUAAAUAUUUUGAAAAUAAAUUUAAUAAAAAGUAAAUUUAAUUUAUUGUAUCUUGUGUAUCAGAGUUUAUUAAAUAAAUAUUUAGUUAAAUUGUUUCUCGAAUUUAAAAGAGAAAAUUAAUUAUAAAAGUUAUUGUUGCAUAAAUAUUUUUAAUAGUUAAUUUGAAAUGAGAUGUUAAUCGUUUUUAAAAAUAUCUAGUUUUUUUAGAAAAAAAUUUAAUUUUUAAUUUUCUUUUCAAUUUAUUAAUUAAUUAAUAAAUUGAAAAGAAAAUUAAUCUAUUUUAAGGGAUAAGCUUUAAAUUAAAUUUUUAUAAUUAUUUUAGAGAUAAUAAAAUUUUUAAAAUUUAUAUUGUUUAUAAUUUUUAAUUUAUUAUAAAUUAAUUUUAAUUAAAUUAAAAUUUUAAAAUAAUUUAAUUUUUUAUAAGAAAAUAUUUUUUAAUAAAUUAAAAUUAAUUAUAAUGAUAAAAUUAGUAUUUAAUAGUAAAAAUAAUAUAUUUAUAAGAUAAAAAUAAACUUAAGGAAUUCGGCAAAUAUUUAUAUUCACUUGUUUAUCAAAAACAUGUCUUUUUGAUAAUAAUUUAAAGUCUAAUCUGCCCACUGAUAAUUUAUUAAAGGGCUGCAGUAUAUUGACUGUACAAAGGUAGCAUAAUCAUUAGUCUUUUAAUUGGUGACUUGUAUGAAAGAUUGGAUGAAAUAUAAACUGUCUCAAUUUUAAUUAAAUAAUUUAAUUUUUUGAUUAAAAAGUCAAAAUAAUUUUAAAAGACGAGAAGACCCUAUAGAGUUUAAUAAAUUAAUUAAUUAAAAUUAUAUAUUUAAUUUUAAAUUAAAAUUAAUAAAUUUAUUUUAUUGGGGUGAUAAAAAAAUAAAAUAAACUUUUUUUAAAAAAAAUUACAUUAAUAAGUGAGUAAAUGAUCCAAAAUUAUUUUGAUUAUAAGAAAAAAUUACCUUAGGGAUAACAGCGUAAUUUUUUUUUUUAGUUCAAAUAAAAAAAAAAAGUUUGCGACCUCGAUGUUGGAUUAAGAUAAAAUUUAUAAUGCAAAAGUUAAAAAUUUUGAUCUGUUCGAUCAUUAAAAUCUUACAUGAUCUGAGUUCAAACCGGGGGGAGCCAGGUUGGUUUCUAUCUUUAAAUAAAUAAAAUAUUUUAGUACGAAAGGAAUAAAUAUUUAAAUUAAAUUUAAAAAUAAAGAAUUUUAAUAAAUUUUUAUUUAAAUAAUAUAUAAUACAUAUAUAAUACAUUAAU
rnacentral:rRNA from 1 species